UCAAGGGAGGCGAGACGUCUCCCUGAUUGGCCCAGCGCCGGAAUGGGUGAGAAAAAGCGCGGUGGCGGGGAUUUAAGGUGGACACGCGUUCCGGGCUCUUGAGCGGCCCCGGAGGUUCGGUCUGUCUGCAUUUAAGGGUGGGAGAAGCGCCAAGGAAUUUCCGAGCCGGCUUUCCCCGGCAGGCCGAAGAAGAGCGCGCGCUCAGUGCCAGUUCCAGCUGAAUUGCGGACCUGAGUGAAGCCAUCCCGCCUUAAGAGAACGGCGACAGCGUCCCCAUUGAUUAAACCUCCAGCGAGGGGAAGGGCAGGCAGUUUCCAGCAAAGCCUCCCCCUCUCUCUGGAUCUCCCUCCUUUCCCUCCCUCCCCCGCCUGCCUGCCCGCCCGCCCCGGGCGCUCCUUCCCGCAGAUCCGUGGCUGCUUCUCUCCUUUCGUUGUCCCUGGGGGUGAGACCCGAAGCAGAAGGCGGGCCGCGUCCAAUGCGGGAUCGUUAUUUAUUAUGAUCUAUUAUAUAUUGCACAUAGUCGAAAGAUAAUUCCUCUCCUUUGGCCCUGAAGAAGUCGGCGUGGAUCCUGAGGAGCUCUUGCAGCUAAGAUGCAGCCGCUGAGGACAGAGGCAAAAAAGACCGUGAAGCCUGGGAAAGGGAGGAGGGAACGCGAAAGCAGCUUCCCUUCUGCAACGGAGAAAGAAGCCGUGGAGGAGAGAUGGGGAAGCGUCGCCAGGCGCAGGCGGAGGAGAAGCUGGCAGGGGAUCGGCUGCUCCAGAGAACUUUUUGCUUUGGGUUGAGGAAAGGAGAGUUUGGGAAGGCAUUGUCACGCUUCAGAGAGGCCAUGAGGAAUCGUCCCUUGGUCGCUUUCUAAAACCGAAGAAUGGCCGCUUUAAGAGCAGGAGAACCGUUUUGGAGAAUCCUUUCUCGGCUCGCAAGCUUUCGGAAACCUACACCUCCCCCCUCGCUUCCCUCCAAAACGAAAUCGGGGUUAGGACAGAUUUAGGAGCUCUGGUGCAUGGAGAGCAAGCUCCGCGAUCGAGGAUCGGAGGAACCAAGACCCGGCAAUCCAGGCGAUCCAGUCUCAAUCCUGCGGCCGGCCGACCCCCGCGCUUGCAAGCUGCCGAGGAGGCUGGCAUGCCCGGAUGUACGAAGGCGAAGGGGGGGCCUGCACGAACACGUGGUGAUGGGAAGGGAGAGGGGUCGGAUCAGAUCUAAUUAUCCGCGCGGCUUCCAAUUCGGCUCUCACCACUCCCAGCUGGAGCUGCAGAAUAUUUUAGCCGGAGGCUAUCUACCCCAACGAGAAAGCAGCCCUUCCCGUUCGGAGGUUGCGGAGCGAAUCCGCACUGGAUUUGCAUGUUUUCUUGGGGCAGGACGGGUGGGGAAAAGGGUAGGUGACCGCCCCCACCUCGCGCAGAUUUCACCCCGCCUUUCCCCGAACCUCUUUGUGUUAAUAGCUCUUGGAGGGGGCGGGGGGGGGAGGGAAAGAAACGGUCCUGGAGCUCUGGAUUUGCAGGGAUGAACUAGCAAACUGAAGACAGCACCACUAAAACUGGAAAUGAUGACCAUGAUGGAAUGAAAAUCCAGCAAGUAGACCAGCUCUUUGUAAUUCUUCUCUGGACAUGGUGAGGACUUGAGAUCACCCACAAGUGCUCCCGACAAUUGUUCCUCAUGAGGAGACAACAAGAUAGUGGUCUCCAGCAGGGUUCUGGGAAAUGAGGGAAUAGCCAUCCUGUUCAAAGCAUGGAACGCCAAGAGCUGUCAACCAAAUUUCCCCCUAAAACAAUCCUGUAAAUGAGUCGGGGUUGAGAAAGAGCAAGCAAAAUUAAGACAACCAAUCAGUUGCCACAGCUGAGGGUGAACUCAAACAUGGACCUUUCCCCCACCCUACCCCAGCCUAUUAUCCAGAGCAUCCUUUAUCUGAAUUGGCUUGUCAUCUUUUUUACAACACACUCAUAAAUCUGACCUAAUAAAGAAAACCCACAUUAUUUUGGCCCCUCUAUUUGGUUUCUAUGUGACCUCAUUGUAUCUCUUGUCUUUUGGGACUUCCAGCAAGAGUCCCUCCCCUUUCAGCUUCACCCCUCUGCAGGCUACCUGCAAGUACCCAGAUGUUCUUGCAGGCAUGGCUUUAUCUCGGCUAUCCAGUGCUUCCUUCAAAGGAAAGCCAUUAGGCUCAACACAGGCCAUUCUUGCUAAAGUUCUAAGUGUGCUUGCUUGUGAAGGCAACUGUGCUUCAGCUGCUUGUUCUUUUCUCCAAAUAGGGAAGCAGAAGGCACUCCAUGCAAGGUAAGGGCGGAGGGCU